rnacentral:rRNA from 1 species
AGCAGCCGCGGUAAUUCCAGCUCCAAUAGCGUAUAUUAAAGUUGUUGCAGUUAAAAAGCUCGUAGUUGAAUUUCGGGAUUGACGUGAUGGUCAUGCCUUAAGGGGUAUGAACUGUUACUGUUGAUUUCUCACCUUCUGGAGAAACUUGAUGUCCUUUAUUGGGUGUCUUGCGGAUCCAGGACCUUUACCUUGAAAAAAUUAGAGUGUUUAAAGCAGGCAUUUUUUGCUCGAAUACAUUAGCAUGGAAUAAUAGAAUAGGACGGCAUGGUUCUAUUUUGUUGGUUUCUAGGAUCACCGUAAUGAUUAAUAGGGAUAGUUGGGGGCAUUAGUAUUCAAUUGUCAGAGGUGAAAUUCUUGGAUUUAUUGAAGACUAACUACUGCGAAAGCAUUUGCCAAGGAUGUUUUCAUUAAUCAAGAACGAAAGUUAGGGGAUCGAAGACGAUCAGAUACCGUCGUAGUCUUAACCAUAAACUAUGCCGACUA